GUGCUCGCUUCGGCAGCACAUAUACUAAAAUUGGAAUUAUAUAGAGAUUUGCACGGCCCCUGCGCACAGAUGACACGCAAAUUUGUGAAGCGUUCCAUAUUUUU
rnacentral:snRNA from 1 species